rnacentral:rRNA from 1 species
UGUUCAGGGGUAAACCUGUGGUUCCCGAAAGUUCGAACGAGGAGAUUCAAUUGCCUUACCGGUUGUGACUAUUAUGACAGUGCAUAAUUUAUUUGAGACAUUAUAUGGCUGUAUGGAUUUCGUAUCUGUACAUGUAUUGUUAUAGUGCUCCGCUGUUUAAUUAUGUUUAUAGCCGGAGGCAUGCACUUCUCCUCUUGUAGGACGUCGUGACCCAUUGGGUGUAUUAUAUAGUUGUCUAAGGCUUAUAAUGGUGCUCGUUGAUCGUUAGAGUUUUACGACUUUGACGACCCGAACUUAUAAUGUCCCGACAUCUACCCGAUGGUAUAACUAUGAUGAUGGAUCGCUAAAUUUUUUAGUGAGCGUUUUUGAUCUAUGACAAAUGUUUCAUACGUUUGCAAUGUAGAAAUCGAAGUUAUAUAUGUCGAUUCUACACGUAUGGCAUUGUUAGUUAUGGUAUUCUCAAACCGUUCCUUAUCAUCAGUCAACGGCGUUUAUGUUUUGGGUAAUUACAGGACCCGUCUUGAAACACGGACCAAGGAGUCUAGCAUGUGCGCGAGUCAUUGGGACACUUAUGGUGAAACCUAAAGGCGUAAUGAAAGUGAAUAUUUUUUUUGGAAUUUAUUCCAAUAAAUUAAGGGAAGAUGGAUAACGAUUUAUAUGUUAUCUCGCAUUCCCGGGGCGUCGCUUACUCAUUGCGAGUUGCGGCGCACCAAGAGCGUACAUGCUGGGACCCGAAAGAUGGUGAACUAUGCCUGGUCAGGAUGAAGUCAGGGGAAACCCUGAUGGAGGUCCGUAGCGAUUCUGACGUGCAAAUCGAUCGUAUGAACUGGGUAUAGGGGCGAAAGACUAAUCGAACCAUC